rnacentral:rRNA from 1 species
CAAUAGCGUAUAUUAAAGUUGUUGCGGUUAAAAAGCUCGUAGUUGGAUUUCUGCUGAGAACGACCGGUCCGCCCUUUGGGUGUGUAUCUGGCUCUUUCUUGGCAUCUUCUUGGUGAACGUUGCUGCACUUGACUGUGUGGAGCGCUACCCAGGACUUUUACUUUGAGGAAAUUAGAGUGUUUCAAGCAGGCAUACGCCUUGAAUACGUUAGCAUGGAAUAAUAAGAUAGGACCUCGGUUCUAUUUUGUUGGUUUCUAGAGCUGAGGUAAUGAUUAAUAGGGAUAGUUGGGGGCAUUCGUAUUUAACUGUCAGGGGUGAAAUUCUUGGAUUUGUUAAAGACGGACUACUGCGAAAGCAUUUGCCAAGGAUGUUUUCAUUGA